UGGGGAAUCUUGCACAAUGGGGGCAACCCUGAUGCAGCGACGCCGCGUGAGCGAUGAAGCCCUUCGGGGCGUAAAGCUCUUUCGACCGGAACGAUAAUGACGGUACCGGGAGAAGAAGCUGCGGCUAACUACGUGCCAGCAGCCGCGGUAAUACGUAGGAAGCAAGCGGUGUUCGGAGUUACUGGGCGUAAAGAGUGCGUAGGCGGUUUUCUAAGUUCGGUGUGAAAUCUCCCGGCUUAACUGGGAGGGUGCGCCGAAGACUGGGAAGCUGGAGUGUGGGAAAGGCAGGCGGAAUUCCUGGUGUAGCGGUGAAAUGCGUAGAUAUCAGGAGGAACACCGGCGGUGUAGACGGCUUGCUAGACCAUAACUGACGCUGAGGCACGAAAGCGUGGGUAGCAAACA
rnacentral:rRNA from 1 species